AGGCUUUGAAGUGUGGACGCCAGUCUGCAUGGAGCCGACCUUGAAAUACCACCCUUUAAUGUUUGAUGUUCUAACGUGGACCCGUGAUCCGGGUUGCGGACAGUGUCUGGUGGGUAGUUUGACUGGGGCGGUCUCCUCCUAAAGAGUAACGGAGGAGCACGAAGGUUGGCUAAUCCUGGUCGGACAUCAGGAGGUUAGUGCAAUGGCAUAAGCCAGCUUGACUGCGAGCGUGACGGCGCGAGCAGGUGCGAAAGCAGGUCAUAGUGAUCCGGUGGUUCUGAAUGGAAGGGCCAUCGCUCAACGGAUAAAAGGUACUCCGGGGAUAACAGGCUGAUACCGCCCAAGAGUUCAUAUCGACGGCGGUGUUUGGCACCUCGAUGUCGGCUCAUCACAUCCUGGGGCUGAAGUAGGUCCCAAGGGUAUGGCUGUUCGCCAUUUAAAGUGGUACGCGAGCUGGGUUUAGAACGUCGUGAGACAGUUCGGUCCCUAUCUGCCGUGGGCGCUGGAGAACUGAGGGGGGCUGCUCCUAGUACGAGAGGACCGGAGUGGACGCAUCACUGGUGUUCGGGUUGUCAUGCCAAUGGCACUGCCCGGUAGCUAAAUGCGGAAGAGAUAAGUGCUGAAAGCAUCUAAGCACGAAACUUGCCCCGAGAUGAGUUCUCCCUGAGACUUUAGGUCUCCUGAAGGAACGUUGAAGACGACGACGUUGAUAGGCCGGGUGUGUAAGCGCAGCGAUGCGUUGAGCUAACCGGUACUAAUGAACCGUGAGGCUUAACCUUACA
rnacentral:rRNA from 1 species